AGGAUAGCAUUAGCAGCCGCGCUCCGGAAACAGAGGAGUGAGGAAAGUCCGGACACUUGAGAGCAGGAUGCCUCCGGAAACGGAGGGUAUGCAGGAGCAAAUCCUGCAUAACGGAAAGUGAUACAGAAAACAAACUACCCCGUUUCGGCGGGGAAAAGGUGAAAAGGCGGGGUAAAAGCCCACCGUUCCUGCAGGUAACUGCAGGAUGCAAAUAAAACCCCAUCAGAGUGCAAGACCAUGUAUAGUGACGCCUGAGGGCUGCUCGCCCGAUGUCACAGGGUAGGUUGCAUAGAUAAAUGGCUGCAAUCCCCUUUCGGGGGGAAGACAGAAUCCGGCUUACAAUGCUUUCCUUUGA
rnacentral:RNase_P_RNA from 1 species